rnacentral:lncRNA from 1 species
UUCACAUCUCCCAUUCUCCCAGCAGAGGUUUUAAGGACAGCAACUUUUGAUCACUUGUCUUUAUUAAGUC